rnacentral:rRNA from 1 species
AGUGAACGCUGGCGGUAGGCCUAACACAUGCAAGUCGAACGGCAGCACAGUAAGAGCUUGCUCUUACGGGUGGCGAGUGGCGGACGGGUGAGGAAUACAUCGGAAUCUACUUUUUCGUGGGGGAUAACGUAGGGAAACUUACGCUAAUACCGCAUACGACCUACGGGUGAAAGCAGGGGAUCUUCGGACCUUGCGCGAUUGAAUGAGCCGAUGUCGGAUUAGCUAGUUGGCGGGGUAAAGGCCCACCAAGGCGACGAUCCGUAGCUGGUCUGAGAGGAUGAUCGGCCACAUUGGAACUGAGACGCGGUCCAGAGUACUGCGGGAGGCAGCAGUGGGGAAUAUUGGACAAUGGGCGCAAGCCUGAUCCAGCCAUACCGCGUGGGUGAAGAAGGCCUUCGGGUUGUAAAGCCCUUUUGUUGGGAAAGAAAAGCAGCAGGUUAAUACCCCGCUGUUCUGACGGUACCCAAAGAAUAAGCACCGGCUAACUUCGUG